UGGGGAAUUUUGGACAAUGGGCGAAAGCCUGAUCCAGCAAUGCCGCGUGUGUGAAGAAGGCCUUCGGGUUGUAAAGCACUUUUGUCCGGAAAGAAAUCCUUGGCUCUAAUACAGUCGGGGGAUGACGGUACCGGAAGAAUAAGCACCGGCUAACUACGUGCCAGCAGCCGCGGUAAUACGUANCGGUGCAAGCGUUAAUCGGAAUUACUGGGCGUAAAGCGUGCGCAGGCGGUUUGCUAAGACCGAUGUGAAAUCCCCGGGCUCAACCUGGGAACUGCAUUGGUGACUGGCAGGCUAGAGUAUGGCAGAGGGGGGUAGAAUUCCGACGUGUAGCAGUGAAAUGCGNUAGAGAUGUGGAGGAAUACCGAUGGCGAAGGCAGCCCCCUGGGCCAAUACUGACGNCUCUGCACGAAAAGCCGUGGGGAGCAAACAGGAUUCAGACACCCUGGUAGUCCACGCCCUAAACGAUGUCAACUAGUUGUUGGGGAUUCAUUUCCUUAGUAACGUAGCUAACGCGUGAAGUUGACCGCCUGGGGAGUACGGUCGCAAGAUUAAAACUC
rnacentral:rRNA from 1 species